rnacentral:tRNA from 1 species
GAGAGUAUAGCUCAGUGGUAGAGCACAUGCUUAGCAUGCAUGAGGUCCUGGGUUCAAUCCCCAGUACUACCA